GUACUCAUGAAGAGUCCAAAACUAAGACGAAACAGCUGUCGAGUAC
rfam:Trichobilharzia regenti genome assembly, scaffold: TRE_scaffold0025876